CUGAGUUACCGCUCAUCAACCCUUUGUGAACAUACCUUAACUGUUGCUUCGGCAGGUAGGCGUCCCCUAAAAGGACGUCUCCCGGCCCUCUCCCGUCCGCGGGUGGGGCGCCCGCCGGAGGAUAACCAAACUCUGAUUUAACGACGUUUCUUCUGAGUGACACAAGCAAAUAAUCA
rnacentral:misc_RNA from 1 species